AAAUUCACAAUCUUGGAGGCACCAGCUCAGCAAAACCGCCUAAUCCUUGUGAUCAAUCUCCGGUGUGAGCGUGCCCUUGGUGAUAAAGAUAUUGGUGAAGUCAACGUCCCAAUCAAGGAGUUAUUGGAAACCAUGGGAGAUGGAAAAUCUAUGCAAUUUGUUAGUUAUCAGGUCAGGAAGCCAUCAGGAAAGCCUAAAGGUCAGUUAAAUUUUUCUUAUAAGUUUAGUGAGAAGGCUAUUGUCUCAGGACCUGAAAAAGUGAGCGAAAAGGCCAACCAACCAGUCACUGCAUAUCCUGCUCCGCCGCCUGCUGGGAUUGGCUCUAGUUCAGCACCUUAUGGUGCUCCUGGGCCUUAUCCACCUCCACCACCAAGCGAUCCAGUCCCACCAAUGGCAAAUUAUAGUUACCCACCACCUGCAUAUGCUGGAUAUCCACCACCACCUGCAUAUGCUGGAUAUCCACCGCCGCUGCCACAGCCAUAUGCUGGAUACCCACAACAAGCUCAUCCGCCAGGACAUGGAUACCCGCCGCCGCCUCCACCCGCAGGUUAUGGGUAUCCACCGGUUCAGGCUGGAUAUGGAUAUCAACCAGUGCAACAACCGGCAAAGAAGAACAAAUUUGGAAUGGGAUUGGGAGCUGGCUUGUUAGGAGGAGCAAUUGGUGGGCUUUUGAUCGGAGAUAUGGUGUCU
rnacentral:lncRNA from 1 species